rnacentral:rRNA from 1 species
UCGUGGAGUGAUUUGUCUGCUUGAUUGCGAUAACGAACGAGACCUUAACCUGCUAACUAGCCCGGCUAGCUUUGGCUGGUCGCUGGCUUCUUAGAGGGACUAUCGACGUAAGUCGAUGGAAGUUUGAGGCAAUAACA